rnacentral:lncRNA from 1 species
UCCAGCCCAUAUGUGGGCUUGGACAAAUUGGGCCUAUUGAGCCCAAAUCACUAAUUAAGGUGAAGUAAGGCAAAUUAGGGCAUGCAGAAAAGAUGGAGAGCAGCGUGCAGCGUGCAGGGUGCAGCGUACGUGCACAGUGAACAGCGACGACGUGCAGAGAGAAAAGAGGAGAGAGAAAGUAAGGUUUCUGAGUUUUCUGCUUGACGAUCGGUGGCCAAACGUUGUCAGUUUCGACCCAAAUUUUAUGUGGAGAAUCCUUGCAGUAAACUCUACAAUCCUAACGGUGUUGAUCUACAGUUUACCCUCUCUAAGGUACUUUCCUGCGGUAUCCACUUUGUGAGACCUAGAAAAUCUCUUUGGAGAAGAUCCAUCUAUGUGAUGAAGAUAUGCUAUUCUUGAGCCAAGAUCUAUGUUCUUGAUGUCAUUCUGAUCCUCUAGUUAUUCUAGAGAAGACCUACUGUAAACCUGUUAUCAUCAUUAUUGAUAGUGGAAGUUUGAGGUGGAUUACGG